GUUGGAGUCUCUGAGGCGACUGUGUGUUGGUAGGAGAUAGUUGGUGGCCCGUGCAGCUGGGUUGGGAAACCCUCAAGGUUGACACUGCAGUUGGGGCAGAGGUCAGGGUCUCAGGGAGCAGCAGCAACUUGUUCUUCAGAGGAAAUGGAAGGAUGGCUCCGGGGCAGCCAAUCCCACCACUGCAUAAGAUGGAAGAACCUUGGCUCCCUGUGUGACUUCUCUUUGUGAUUUGGAAGACAAAUACCUCCGAUGAGUUGUCUGCGAACAGCUCAGCACAUUGGAGAACAAGGUGAUUGGAGGAGCCAUCUUUGAAAUCAG